rnacentral:rRNA from 1 species
CAACUUUCGACAACGGAUCUCUUGGUUCUCCCAUCGAUGAAGAACGCAGCGAAACGCGAUAGGUAAUGUGAAUUGCAGAAUUCCGUGAAUCAUCGAAUCUUUGAACGCACCUUGCGCUCUGUGGUAUUCCGCAGAGCAUGCCUGUUUGAGUGCCGUGA